rnacentral:sRNA from 1 species
UCGAUGGAUACAAUUUCAAACGGGUGUGU